rnacentral:rRNA from 1 species
ACCUACGGGGGGCAGCAGUGGGGGAUAUUGCACAAUGGGGGGAACCCUGAUGCAGCGGCGCCGCGUGGGUGAAGAAGCACCUCGGCGCGUAAAGCCCUGUCAGCAGGGAAGAAAAUGACGGUACCUGAAGAAGAAGCCCCGGCUAACUACGAGCCAGCAGCCGCGGUAAUACGUAGGGGGCAAGCGUUAUCCGGAUUUACUGGGUGUAAAGGGGGCGCAGACGGCGGUGCAAGCCAGGAGUGAAAGCCGGGGGCCCAACCCCGGG